CGCCCUAGCCUCCCUCGCACGAAAAAAAACCCUCCUCUCGAUCCACCCCUGGCGCUGCCCUCAUCUCUCGCUCCGCCCGCCGCCGCCGCCCCUGCUUCCCUCCCGCUCGACCACCUCCACCGCUCCCACCCUUCUCUCCAUUGUCGGAUCCGCUUGCUCGUCAAGGUUAGGCGGCGAAAAGGUCUUGAUAUAUGCCUUGGCCACAGGUCUGCAGGUGCCCACAGAAUACAAUCCAUCGCCACCCAUGACUCCCUCACCCUGCUAGGGUUCCUAGCCCCGUCCUCCGCCGCCGCUGCGUGUUCCCGUCCGACCUCGCCCGAGCGAUUUCUUGACCUCGCCGGGAGCAGGCAGCUGGAUCCCGCCGCCGUGCCUCCCUCUCUCCCUUCUCUUCUUUUCCCCUACCUCUCUCUCUCCUCUGAACUGAGCGUCGUUCCUCUCUGCAGGUGCCGCCAUGGCCGCGUCUUGGAGCUCGCCGCCGUGGGCUGCGUGCCCCUCCGAUGACGGCCUUCCUCGCCCACGUCCAGGUCCCCUGGCCGGCCAUCUUCCAUUUUCUCUAUUCCCGCCCCAUGCCCCUCCCCAAAGAUCCCUCCCUCUCAUGGGCGUCACCACCAUCACUGCACCCAGCCUCCCUCAUCGUGGUGCAGUCAGUUCCGUUCCGUGGCCUCUAUCGUGUCUUCGAAGAAGGUCGUGAUACGCCACAAGUGGGAGCGGAAGCUGCGAUGUCAAGAUCUACAAGCAGGACAUGAACCACCUUGCCAUGUAUUUCCUCGUCACAUUAGGAUUCGUCGACGCCGCCAACAGGUUCUGUAUCAAUUCCGGCACCCAACGUACUGUAUGCCCACACAUUUAAAUCAUGCCGGUCUUACUCCUGCAAUACUCCUCGAAUAGUACUUGAGAUUUAGGCAGCGGUGGGCAUGCGCUGCAGGUCAUUCACCUGGUUGGCCUCUUUGAUGUAUCUGGUGUUGUUGUGUCAAUGUGGAAGGAGAGCCCGCUUCUCCGGGACGCUGGCGCUGACAUGCUCACUGUAGGCACCGUCAUGGCGGUGCUCGACUUAAGGGAGGAGGUCGGCAACCACCACUUCUUGAACCAAAGUUUGCAGAAGCUAUGGAAGAAAUGGUAACUUGCUUACUUGGGAAAACUGCAUUGGAUAGCGAUGAUGGUGACAGUGAUGAAUCUAAAUAGUGUGACGGUCUGAGUACUCGUGGGCGUGACGAGGUGAUUGCGGAUCCACCAGAACAUGCGAGUGGCAAUGCUUCAGGACAAGCAGCCAGCGACGGCAUAGCUUCACAGAAUGGAGUACGACGUAGGUGUCCAAGGGUUGUAUCAGGUCGCAUACGAAGAUCCUGAAGUUGCAAGUAGAUACAGUCAAUAGCAUAGUUAAAGGUGAUAUGGGAGAUAAUUAAGUUCCCUAGGCAAGCUGGAUUGAAGCUUGAUGAGCCGAACCCAAGGGGCGUGCUUAGUUUCUACCACAAAAUUCUAUCAUUCACAUCAACCGAUGUUGCAAAGCAAGUAAAAAUGUACUAGAGUCAGAUAUUUGUUGGCAACGGCUUAUUGGGCUUUUUCAAAUCAAUAUUACUUCCACUAGCAGGAAAUGGUUCAAGCAUACUUAUCCAAAUCUUAUAAUCCUGAUGGGAGAAAACAUUGUGAAGCAGUUCAGGCUGAAUGGCCAGUUAACAAGAAUCGGGUGGAUCUGCGUGUGGUGGAUGAUCGUUUACAAGGAAGGUUGAAUGUAUGGUUCCUGGAGAUGAUCAGAUGGUGCCACGUAUUUGACCUGCGAUUUGUGCCUCCAAUAGUUCCAAUGAAUGCUCCAUAGAGAAUGUAAGGAAGUAGGAAUCAGCAGGCGUCUCUGAGUUGUUUCAGUUACCAUAUUUGCUUGCAAGGUGUGAGGGUGAAGCCAACUCUAAAAGUGGGGUCUGUUCAAGUAGAAGGAACAUGCCAAGAUGAAAGAAGACGGAGCAAAAAAACCUAUAGAGGCAUGAACGCAACACUAUCUAAAACGUCUCACACUUCUGUCUAGGAAUAUAAUGGAAUCUGGGAAGAAAGAAAGAGGAAGAGUUCGCACCCACCUUCUCUCAGAGCCGCCGCUUUGAGUUCGUGUCGGCCCUACUGCAGUCGGCAGUUGUCAAGGUCGACCUGCGUGCCGCAGGGGAGCAUCACUGCCCUACACGCCGAGGGGCGCCAUGCGCUGGCUCCCACGUGCGGUUUGACCAACAAGUCGAGAUUGCGCGUGCGGAGGUAGAGGGCAAGGAAGGGGAAUCCGGCGUGCCCGCCCUGCACAACAUCAGGCCACAUGGAAGCUCCCGAGCACGAAAACGAACGCUCACUACUCUCUCCUUCUUGAAUUGCCGGCAUCGCUUUAGAUGGGUGAAGAGAGCUGAGCAUUUCUGGUGAAGCUGGAGGAGGAUGGAAGAAUAAUAGUCAUUUUGGAGCUAGCUACGACCUCCUCUGGAUGUUUCAUAGGGUUCCGCACAAUGUGUUCUCCUGUAAUUUGGUCACCAAGGCUGCUGAAAUGAUUUGGCAUCUGAACUUUGUCAAGUCCUUAUUAGAAGACGCAGAUUGCAGAUCAUUCUAUCCCUGUAAGACCAAGAUUUUGAUGCUCCUGUUACCUGGCAUCGAGGAAGAAGGUAUCCCCCUUAUACGAAGAUUUCUAGCUUGCCUAUGUGUUGUAAUGUUAAUAAGUGCAUUCGGCCAAACAAUUUGCGGACCAAAUGAACUUGCUGUGGAUAUAGAAGAAUAAGGCGGCACACAAGGAGUUGCCUGAAUUGCAGUGGCAGUGGUGUUGUAAUAUGCCUCUAUUCCAACACACACAUUCCAGUUGCCAUUGGUGAGCAAAUGAGAUAUGAAGUUACCAGCGAUUUUCAUUAUACGUGGUAAAAAUAAUGCAAAUCAUGCUUUAUGGAGAGUUGAAACACUGACUAUUGAUCGGAGAAAAUUUAGUGGUGACAACUACCCAAGAACAUUGAGAAUGGCGCCAGAAAUUCCUUUUGCUGAUAUCACAAAUUUUGUGCCAUGGUCCAUAAAGAGAACAAGUGCUGGUGUGUGUUCCGAUCCAGUAAAUUUUCUUCAUGUGCCACACAAGUGGAGACGACUCUACUUUUUUACCAUGAUCUUGAGAGUUAUGAACUUUAUGACAAUAAUGACUCUCAAGUUCAACAAGAGCUCGUACAAAAGAUAUGGAAAGUGUUUAAGACUAUACUAGAAGAGACUGGCAAAUUAAGGGAAGAAACCAAGGAAGGCAUUUCUAUAGCUAAGUCCAUUGUAAUCAUUUUGGAUUGAAAUUCAAGUUUGGCAAAAGGUCUUGAUAUAUGCCUUGGUCACAGGUCUAAAUGUUAUAAGCAUGGCUCCCCACAUCCAAUUUUUCAGGCCAUGGAGCUUCUAUGGUUGGUUCAUAUGUGGUUAUCGAAGCAGGAUAAGUUCUUGAGGAGGACUCUAAUUGCUAUGGACCACAAGAUUUCAUAUGUCGCUCCCUAUUGCGUAUUGCUGUUGACAUUGGACUUGCUAUCCAGUAAGAGGGACAUUGGGAUCAUUGUUCAUCUAGAGAAGUCAGUGCUAUAUCUACGUCAGAAUAUUGGGAUGUUAAUGAUUGGAGAUGGAUUGACAAGUACCAAAUAUUGAUGCCAAGCAGAACUAAAACCUGUUCAUUGAUUACCUUCAGUCCCGCAUUCCAAUCAACAACAUUGGGCCGAGAGAGCGCGCGGGUGGCGCAAGAGGCAAUGGGCAGCCAGUGCGCGAGUGUGUUAGCAGUGGGUAUAUCUGAAGAUUAUUUCUCAACUCAGCAUGUGGGUAGAGACUAAAAAGACGAUGCCAUGGUAGCAUGGCAGACCUGGCAAGUGCCACGAACAUCAUGAUAUUCUUCCUUUUCUUAAUUCCUUGAUUUGAAAAAUAAUUUGCUCUGCGUGUGUAGGAACAUAGCAGUCGGGCAAACGACACUUUCACAUCUUGAUCUAUAAGGGAAAUAAUUUCUUUA